CAGAACGAACGCUGGCGGCGUGCUAACACAUGCAAGUCGAACGCGAAAGGGACUUCGGUCCUGAGUAAAGUGGCGCACGGGUGAGUAACGCGUAGAUAACCUGUCUUCAUGUCUGGAAUAAUACGCCGAAAGGGGUACUAAUACCGGAUAUUCUUGCUUUUCAUAAGUUAUGCAAGCAAAGGUGGCCUCUGCAUAUGCUACUGCAUGAAGGGGGGUCUGCGUACCAUUAGCUAGUAGGUGGGGUAAUGGCCUACCUAGGCGACGAUGGUUAGCGGGUCUGAGAGGAUGAUCCGCCACACUGGCACUGGAACACGGGCCAGACUCCUACGGGAGGCAGCAGUGAGGAAUAUUGCGCAAUGGGGGAAACCCUGACGCAGCGACGCCGCGUGAGUGAAGGGAAGGCCUUCGGGUCGUAAAGCUCUGUCAAGAGGAAAGAAGUGUACAAUGGCUAAUACCUGUUGUAUUUGACGGUACCUCUAAAGGAAGCACCGGCUAACUCCGUGCCAGCCGCUGC
rnacentral:rRNA from 1 species